AUUAACGCUAGCGGCAAGCAUAAUACAUGCAAGUUGAACGGCAGCACAGGUAGCAAUACCGGGUGGCGAGUGGCGCACGGGUGCGUAACACGUAUGCAACCUACCCUAUACAGGCGAAUAACCUUUAGAAAUGAGGGCUAAUACGCCGUGGUAUUAUCUUGGGGCAUCUUGAGAUAAUUAAAGAUUUAUCGGUAUAGGAUGGGCAUGCGUCCCAUUAGUUAGUUGGUAGGGUAACGGCCUACCAAGGCGAUGAUGGGUAGGGG
rnacentral:rRNA from 1 species